rnacentral:rRNA from 1 species
AACGAACGCUGGCGGCGUGGAUAAGACAUGCAAGUCGAACGAGAUUUUCGUUGUAGCAAUACGAUGGAAAGUCUAGUGGCGAACGGGUGCUUAACACGUGGGCAACCUGCCAGGAAGUGGGGGAUAGCUCGCCGAAAGGCGAAUUAAUACCGCAUGUGAUUAGAGAGGACAUCCUUUCGAAAUUAAAGUCGGGGCAACCUGACGCUUCUUGUGGGGCCCGCGGCCUAUCAGCUAGUUGGUGAGGUUACGGCUCACCAAGGCUUUGACGGG